rnacentral:misc_RNA from 1 species
UCUCCGUUGGUGAACCAGCGGAGGGAUCAUUACCGAGUUUACAACUCCCAAACCCCAUGUGAACCUUACCAAACGUUGCUUCGGCGGGAUGCCCCGGGCGCGGGCCGCAAGGCCUCAGCCCCGGGACCAGGCGCCCGCCGGAGGCCCAAACCAAACUCUUGUUUUUGUAGAAUCUUCUGAGUGGCCUUUUAGGCAAAAAAUGAAUCAAAACUUUCAACAACGGAUCUCUUGGUUCUG